UACGUAGGGGGCAAGCGUUGUCCGGAUUUACUGGGCGUAAAGGGCGCGUAGGCGGCCACCGCAAGUCGGUUGUGAAAUCUCUGGGCUUAACCCAGAAAGGUCAACCGAUACUGCGGGGCUAGAGUGCAGAAGGGGCAACUGGAAUUCUCGGUGUAGCGGUGAAAUGCGUAGAUAUCGAGAGGAACACCUGCGGCGAAGGCGGGUUGCUGGGCUGACACUGACGCUGAGGCGCGAAAGCUAGGGGAGCGAACGGG
rnacentral:rRNA from 1 species